AACCCAAACCGCAAUCUUUUCCUAAACCUAACUAAGUAGUUUGUUGCCUAAGCCUAACCAAGUCGAUCUAUUCCUAAACCUAACUAAGUAGUUUGGUUUUGAAAAGACUGGAGCUGAAAUUGAAACGUGCGUCACGUGCUGCUGGACAAUCGUAGGAAAAAGCACAAGAAAAAUAUGUUGUUGAAAGUCACGCUGAGCGUCACUAAAAGAAAAGGGAAAUUCGUGUUUAUUUACACAAAUCAAAUAGA